rnacentral:lncRNA from 1 species
AAAGAAGUCAUCACUAAUACGAUUCAUGUGUGGGAAAAGGGACACCACCGGAAUGAUCAUCGAUGGGAAUAAAAGCCACGGUUAUAAUCUAUUAGUAAGAACUAAAUUGCAUGACAAACACCAAAGAGGAAGCAACACACUCUAAUGAAACAAGUCAUGAUCGAUUAGCGGAGUGAGAAAAUGCAUCUAAAACAGGAGAGACAAUGGUUGUUUCAGAAAACUUGUUGGAAAUCUUUUCCAGCAGCGACGGCUUUUGGCGACGCGCUUUCGGGCAUGACCUGAUCUGGAGAUGACGACGCUGUUCGCAGGAAAAUUUGUUGGAAAUAGUGGCAGC